AGAAAAAGUGUGGGAUUUCAAGGGAUUAAGCUAAUAAAGGCCCGAGGUAGCUUGUGGAUAGCAGAUAUUGUCAUGGAUUAUAGUCGGCUUUACUAGUCCAAAAACUGUAACGAAUGUCUACCGGGACGUCGCGACGGUUGCCACGAGCUCGAGGGGAGUACUGAGUUGUGACAAGUGUAUUCCUUAAUGGCUUUAUACAAGAAAAAAUCUAUGUUGAACAGCUCAUUGGUUUUGAAGUUUUUGAUAAAAUUGAUCAUUUGUAUAAAUUACAUAAAGCCUUAUUUAGAUUGAAACAAGCUCUUAGAGUUUGGUAUGAAAGACUUUCAAAAUUUGUAACUGAAAAUGGAUAUUUUAGGGGGAGUAUAGAUAAUACUCUAUUCAUUAA